rnacentral:rRNA from 1 species
UGAUGGGGAGAAGACAUUGUGUCUUCGAGUCGUUGAUUUCACACUGCCGAGAAAAGCCUCUAGAUAGAAAAUAGGUGCCCGUACCGCAAACCGACACAGGUAGUCAAGAUGAGAAUUCUAAGGUGAGCGAGCGAACUCUCGUUAAGGAACUCGGCAAAAUGACCCCGUAACUUCGGGAGAAGGGGUGCUCUUUAGGGUUAACGCCCAGAAGAGCCGCAGUGAAUAGGCCCAAGCGACUGUUUAUCAAAAACACAGGUCUCUGCUAAACCGUAAGGUGAUGUAUAGGGGCUGACGCCUGCCCGGUGCUGGAAGGUUAAGAGGAGUGGUUAGCUUCUGCGAAGCUACGAAUCGAAGCCCCAGUAAACGGCGGCCGUAACUAUAACGGUCCUAAGGUAGCGAAAUUCCUUGUCGGGUAAGUUCCGACCCGCACGAAAGGCGUAACGAUUUGGGCACUGUCUCAACGAGAGACUCGGUGAAAUCAUAGUACCUGUGAAGAUGCAGGUUACCCGCGACAGGACGGAAAGACCCCGUGGAGCUUUACUGUAGCCUGAUAUUGAAAUUCGGCACAGCUUGUACAGGAUAGGUAGGAGCCUUUGAAACGUGAGCGCUAGCUUACGUGGAGGCGCUGGUGGGAUACUACCCUAGCUGUGUUGGCUUUCUAACCCGCACCACUUAUCGUGGUGGGAGACAGUGUCAGGCGGGCAGUUUGACUGGGGCGGUCGCCUCCUAAAAGGUAACGGAGGCGCUCAAAGGUUCCCUCAGAAUGGUUGGAAAUCAUUCAUAGAGUGUAAAGGCAUAAGGGAGCUUGACUGCGAGACCUACAAGUCGAGCAGGGUCGAAAGACGGACUUAGUGAUCCGGUGGUUCCGCAUGGAAGGGCCAUCGCUCAACGGAUAAAAGCUACCCCGGGGAUAACAGGCUUAUCUCCCCCAAGAGUUCACAUCGACGGGGAGGUUUGGCACCUCGAUGUCGGCUCAUCGCAUCCUGGGGCUGUAGUCGGUCCCAAGGGUUGGGCUGUUCGCCCAUUAAAGCGGUACGCGAGCUGGGUUCAGAACGUCGUGAGACAGUUCGGUCCCUAUCCGUCGUGGGCGUAGGAAAUUUGAGAGGAGCUGUCCUUAGUACGAGAGGACCGGGAUGGACAUACCUCUGGUGUACCAGUUGUCGUGCCAACGGCAUAGCUGGGUAGCUAUGUGUGGACGGGAUAAGUGCUGAAAGCAUCUAAGCAUGAAGCCCCCCUCAAGAUGAGAUUUCCCAACUUCGGUUAUAAGAUCCCUCAAAGAUGAUGAGGUUAAUAGGUUCGAGGUGGAAGCAUGGUGACAUGUGGAGCUGACGAAUACUAAUCGAUCGAAGACUUAAUCAAAA